GCCUCCCAAAAGGCAACGGAGGCGUGCAAAGGUUUCCUCGGGCUUGACGGAGAUUGGCCCUCGAGUGCAAGGGCAUAAGGGAGCUUGACUGCAAGACUCACCUGUCGAGUAGGGACGAAAAUUGGUCUUAGUGAUCCGACGGUGCCGAGUGGAAGGGCCUCUCAUC